rnacentral:sRNA from 1 species
UGGACUUCUGGAGUGGAGAGUGGACGGUGACUCUCUGGAAGCGAUGUGGACGUCUUGCUGCCUCUGUUAGGUGUUCACACGUGCUUUCUCAGCUCUCCACACAGGGACAGCCCCCGGGUGCAGAUGAAAACAAUUGAGGACCAGAAAUCUGUCACCUGUGCCUUUGGCUAGGAACAGGAGCAGAGGACGGUGUCGUGUGAGCCAGCCAGGGAGGGCACAGCCUCAAUCGCCUUCCUCUGUGAUGACCUGCCUGCCUCUGGCUUUCAGCCAGCACCACCGCACCCCCUGCCCAGGCCUCCAGAGAAAACACCUCGAAAUUGUCUCCCAAGUCAUGGAACCUUUCCCAAGGGACCAGGGAAGGUCCAGAGUCCGAUCUGACUGCCCACUGGGCUGCAAGAACUCUCCCUGGCUUUCAGCGGAGCCAUCUGCCGCUAGGACUGUGAGUCUCCAGGCAGAAGCUGCCGUGACAAGUCCUGGCUAUGUCACUGUACUUAUCAACAGAACACCACAUCUGCCUACCCUGACACCAACAAUGUACCCACAGAGGCCAGAAG